UACGAAGGGGGCUAGCGUUACUCGGAUUGACUGGGCGUAAAGGGCGCGUAGGCGGCUGGUACAGUCAGACGUGAAAUUCCUGGGCUCAACCUGGGGGCUGCGUUUGAUACGUGCUGUCUGGAGUUCGGAAGAGGGUCGUGGAAUUCCCAGUGUAGAGGUGAAAUUCGUAGAUAUUGGGAAGAACACCGGUGGCGAAGGCGGCGACCUGGUCCGAUACUGACGCUGAGGCGCGAAAGCGUGGGGAGCAAACAGG
rnacentral:rRNA from 1 species